GACGAACGCUAGCGGCGUGCCUAAGAAAUGCAAGUCGAGCGAGAUCAGGGGCUUCGGCCUCGAAGUUUAGCGGCGAACGGUCGCGUAACACGUAAGCAACCUGCCUCGAAGUGUGGGAUAGCCCUCCGAAAGGGGGAUUAAUACCUCAUGUGAAUACAAUAAGGCAUCUUUGUUGUAUUUAAAGCAGCAAUGCGCUUCGAGAUGGGCUUGCGGCCUAUCAGCUAGUUGGUGGGGUAAUGGCCUACCAAGGCGACGACGGGUAGCUGGUCUGAGAGGAUGGUCAGCCGGACUGGGACUGAGACACGGCCCAGACUCCUACGGUGGCUG
rnacentral:rRNA from 1 species